rnacentral:rRNA from 1 species
CGCUGAACUUAAGCAUAUCAAUAAGCGGAGGAAAAGAAACCAACAGGGAUUGCCUCAGUAACGGCGAGUGAAGCGGCAACAGCUCAAAUUUGAAAUCUGGUACCCUUGGUACCCGAGUUGUAAUUUGUAGAGGAUGCUUCGGGUUUGGCCCCGGCCUAAGUUCCUUGGAACAGGACGUCGCAGAGGGUGAGAAUCCCGUAUGUGGCUGGAGGUCUAUGCCCAUGUGAAGCUCCUUCGACGAGUCGAGUUGUUUGGGAAUGCAGCUCAAAAUGGGUGGUAAAUUUCAUCUAAAGCUAAAUACCGGCGGGAGACCGAUAGCGCACAAGUAGAGUGAUCGAAAGAUGAAAAGCACUUUGGAAAGAGAGUUAAAAAGUACGUGAAAUUGUUGAAAGGGAAGCGCUUGCGACCAGACUUGCCUGCAGUUGAUCAACCGGUGUUCUCACCGGUGCACUCCGCUGUGGUCAGGCCAGCAUCGGUUUAGACGGUUGGAGAAAGGCCGUGGGAAUGUGGCUCUCUUCGGGGAGCGUUAUAGCCCACGGUGUCAUGCAACCAGCCUGGACCGAGGACCGCGCUUCGGCUAGGAUGCUGGCGUAAUGGUUGUAAGCGACCCGUCUUGAAACACGGACCAAGGAGUCUAACAUCUAUGCGAGUGUUUGGGUGUUAAACCCACACGCGUAAUGAAAGUGAACGGAGGUGGGAACCCUUAAGGGUGCACCAUCGACCGAUCCUGAUGUCUUCGGAUGGAUUUGAGUAAGAGCAUAGCUGUUGGGACCCGAAAGAUGGUGAACUAUGCCUGAAUAGGGUGAAGCCAGAGGAAACUCUGGUGGAGGCUCGCAGCGGUUCUGACGUGCAAAUCGAUCGUCAAAUUUGGGUAUAGGGGCGAAAGACUAAUCGAACCAUUGUUGGAGAGCACUUUAAAUAUACCCAUUUGUUAGUAACGUUAGACAUACUAUCAAAUGUAAGCAAAUAUUGAAGCGCACACACAGUUAUGUCUGAUAUAUUUGCUAAAUGUCUCGAACGGAUGAGGGUAUUAUUAUUUGCUACUAGGUGGUUAAGAGGCAGAUAAAAGUUCUGUCUAGUCCCUGUUCACGGGGCAACACUGUCAAAUUGCGGGGACACCCUUAGAGCUCAAACAACCGCAGCCUCUCCGAAAGGAAGGUGCGCACCAGGGUAAUGACCUCGGGUAUGGUAAUAUGGUUUGAGAUUGGGCAAUCUGCAGCAAAGUCCUAAUGGCCCCUUGGCCCAUGGAUGAAGUUCACAGACUAGAUGGCAGUGGGUGAAGGUCUUGCCUUUGCUUAAGGUAUAGUCGGACCACCAGGAAACUGGGCAGUUAGGAUGAAGCACCUGGAGAGUGAGCCCUGCAAUCGUGGGUCUCUUGGUGCUGGAGCCUACUGGAGAGUGGCAGCUCUCGGGUUAAUGCUAGUAGCUGGUUCCUGCCGAAGUUUCCCUCAGGAUAGCAGUAACGUAUUCAGUUUUAUGAGGUAAAGCGAAUGAUUAGAGGCCUUGGGGUUGAAACAACCUUAACCUAUUCUCAAACUUUAAAUAUGUAAGAAGUCCUUGUUAC